CGUUAGCGGCGGACGGGUGAGUAACACGUGGGUAACCUACCUAUAAGACUGGGAUAACUUCGGGAAACCGGAGCUAAUACCGGAUAAUAUUUCGAACCGCAUGGUUCGAUAGUGAAAGAUGGUUUUGCUAUCACUUAUAGAUGGACCUGCGCCGUAUUAGCUAGUUGGUAAGGUAACGGCUUACCAAGGCGACGAUACGUAGCCGACCUGAGAGGGUGAUCGGCCACACUGGAACUGAGACACGGUCCAGACUCCUACGGGAGGCAGCAGCU
rnacentral:rRNA from 1 species